rnacentral:tRNA from 1 species
GGAGGGGCCAUGGGUCAAUGGUAGAGCAUCUGCUUGGCAUGCAUGAGCUCCUAGCUUCAAUCCCUGGCAUCUUCA